rnacentral:rRNA from 1 species
UGGGGGAUAUUGCGCAAUGGGGGCAACCCUGACGCAGCAACGCCGCGUGAAGGAUGAAGGUUUUCGGAUUGUAAACUUCUUUUAUUAAGGACGAAACUUGACGGUACUUAAUGAAUAAGCUCCGGCUAACUACGUGCCAGCAGCCGCGGUAAUACGUAGGGAGCAAGCGUUGUCCGGAUUUACUGGGUGUAAAGGGUGCGUAGGCGGCUUUGCAAGUCAGAUGUGAAAUCUAUGGGCUCAACCCAUAAACUGCAUUUGAAACUGUAGAGCUUGAGUGAAGUAGAGGCAGGCGGAAUUCCCCGUGUAGCGGUGAAAUGCGUAGAGAUGGGGAGGAACACCAGUGGCGAAGGCGGCCUGCUGGGCUUUAACUGACGCUGAGGCACGAAAGCGUGGGUAGCAAACAGGAUUAGAUACCCUGGUAGUCCAUGCUGUAAACGAUGAUUACUAGGUGUGGGGGGUCUGACCCCUUCCGUGCCGGAGUUAACACAAUAAGUAAUCCACCUGGGGAGUACGGCCGCAAGGUUGAAACUCAAAGGAAUUGACGGGGGCCCGCACAAGCAGUGGAGUAUGUGGUUUAAUUCGAAGCAACGCGAAGAACCUUACCAGGUCUUGACAUCCAACUAACGAAGUAGAGAUACAUUAGGUGCCCUUCGGGGAAAGUUGAGACAGGUGGUGCAUGGUUGUCGUCAGCUCGUGUCGUGAGAUGUUGGGUUAAGUCCCGCAACGAGCGCAACCCUUGCUAUUAGUUGCUACGCAAGAGCACUCUAAUAGGACUGCCGUUGACAAAACGGAGGAAGGUGGGGACGACGUCAAAUCAUCAUGCCCCUUAUGACCUGGGCUACACACGUACUACAAUGGAUGUUAACAGAGGGAAGCAAGACAGCGAUGUGGAGCAAACCCCUAAAAACAUUCUCAGUUCAGAUUGCAGGCUGCAACCCGCCUGCAUGAAGAUGGAAUUGCUAGUAAUCGCGGAUCAGCAUGCCGCGGUGAAUACGUUCCC